rnacentral:rRNA from 1 species
GAUGAACGCUGGCGGCGUGCUUAACACAUGCAAGUCGAACGAUGAAGCCCAGCUUGCUGGGUGGAUUAGUGGCGAACGGGUGAGUAACACGUGAGUAACCUGCCCUUAACUCUGGGAUAAGCCUGGGAAACUGGGUCUAAUACCGGAUAGGAGCGUCCACCGCAUGGUGGGUGUUGGAAAGAUUUAUCGGUUUUGGAUGGACUCGCGGCCUAUCAGCUUGUUGGUGAGGUAAUGGCUCACCAAGGCGACGACGGGUAGCCGGCCUGAGAGGGUGACCGGCCACACUGGGACUGAGUCACGGCCCAGACUCCUACGGGAGGCAACAGUGGGGAAUAUUGCACAAUGGGCGCAAGCCUGAUGCAGCGACGCCGCGUGAGGGAUGACGGCCUUCGGGUUGUAAACCUCUUUCAGUAGGGAAGAAGCGAAAGUGACGGUACCUGCAGAAGAAGCACCGGCUAACUACGUG